UACGAGAGGGGUAAGCAUUAUUCAUCAUUAAUGGGUCUAAAGGGUACGUAGGCUGUAUCAUAAGACUGAAGGAUAUCAAACUAAACGAAUAAGAGUUUUUCAGUAACUAUGAAACUAGAGUGUAAUGGAGGAAAAAGGAACUCCGAAAGUAGGGAUGAAAUCUGUUGAUCUUCGGAAGACCGCUUAAGGCGAAGGCUUUUUUCUAACUAAACACUGACGCUGAGGUACGAAAGUAUGGGGAGCAAAACGG
rnacentral:rRNA from 1 species